rnacentral:lncRNA from 1 species
UUCUCCCUUUUAUCCUCCUCCUCCAAUCCAUUUCUUAUCGGCGGCUCCUCUCUCCUCUCUUUCCUCUUCAUUCAUUCCUCCUCAUCCAUUUUCCUCCUCUAAAUUCACCCAUGAGUCCUGCUCCUCUACGAUAAAUCCCUCUAUAUUCAUCCCUUCUCAUCGGCAACCCAUCCUUCUUCUUCUCCUUUCUCAUCCAUUUCUCCUCCUCAUAGUAG